rnacentral:rRNA from 1 species
UACAGUGGUCUCAAGCGUUGCUCGGAUUCAUUGGGCGUAAAGGGUGCGUAGGCGGCGAGGUUAGUCUGGUGUGAAAUCUCGGAGCUCAACUCCGAAACUGCACUGGAUACUGCCUUGCUUGAGUACUGGAGAGGAGAUUGGAAUUUACGGUGUAGCAGUGAAAUGCGUAGAUAUCGUAAGGAAGACCAGUGGCGAAGGCGAAUCUCUGGACAGUUACUGACGCUGAGGCACGAAGGCCAGGGGAGCAAACGGG